AAAUUGAAGAGUUUGAUCAUGGCUCAGAUUGAACGCUGGCGGCAGGCCUAACACAUGCAAGUCGAGCGGCAGCGGGAAGUAGUUUACUACUUUGCCGGCGAGCGGCGGACGGGUGAGUAAUGUCUGGGAAACUGCCUGAUGGAGGGGGAUAACUACUGGAAACGGUAGCUAAUACCGCAUAACGUCUUCGGACCAAAGUGGGGGACCUUCGGGCCUCACGCCAUCGGAUGUGCCCAGAUGGGAUUAGCUAGUAGGUGGGGUAAUGGCUCACCUAGGCGACGAUCCCUAGCUGGUCUGAGAGGAUGACCAGCCACACUGGAACUGAGACACGGUCCAGACUCCUACGGGAGGCAGCAGUGGGGAAUAUUGCACAAUGG
rnacentral:rRNA from 1 species